GACGAACGCUGGCGGCGUGCUUAACACAUGCAAGUCGAACGGAAAGGCCCUGCUUGCAGGGUACUCGAGUGGCGAACGGGUGAGUAACACGUGGGUGAUCUGCCCUGCACUUCGGGAUAAGCUUGGGAAACUGGGUCUAAUACCGGAUAGGAACCAUCUUUAGUGUGGUGGUUGGAAAGUUUUUUCGGUGUAGGAUGAGCUCGCGGCCUAUCAGCUUGUUGGUGGGGUAAUGGCCUACCAAGGCGGCGACGGGUAGCCGGCCUGAGAGGGUGUACGGCCACAUUGGGACUGAGAUACGGCCCAGACUCCUACGGGAGGCAGCAGUGGGGAAUAUUGCACAAUGGGCGCAAGCCUGAUGCAGCGACGCCGCGUGGGGGACGAAGGCCUUCGGGUUGUAAACUCCUUUCGCUAGGGACGAAGCUUUGUUGUGACGGUACCUAGAUAAGAAGCACCGGCUAACUACGUG
rnacentral:rRNA from 1 species